AUGUUUUUGAAUGAAUGAAUGAAUGAAUGAAUGAGCCUUCUAAGGAGAAUGUCCUCAUUUGAGUCCAGGCCCUUGUCCACAUGAGAUUCCAUGGCUGCUAAUCAGCUUCCUCUCUCUCCACCCCUCCUCUGCCCACCCCCCACUGGAUGCAGAGGCAGGGAAGCAGGCCUCCCCAUGACUGUCCAGCUCUUUUCCUGCCACCUGAUUGUCCAGGCCUCCACCUGGGAGUCUGGGGCUCUGCAAACUCUUCUUCCCCAAAUCACCCCACCCCCCAUGCCACUAAGCUCCCCAGUCUCUCUUCCCAGCCCUGCCCUCUGCUAACUCCCUAAUUUCCCAAGGUUGACUGGUUUUAUCCUCUCAAGGUUACUCUGACCCCAUCCCUCUCCUCUCCCUCCUCCUGCCCUAGGGAAGCAAGAGAGGGUGGGGGUAUGCAGGGAGAAAAGCAAAAACCUCCUGACCUUGUCUGCUUGCCAGGGGCUAGAGAUAGGAGAGAAAUCGGGAGGAGCAGGAAGGGUAGGGCCCUCCCGGAGGUGGGGCCAGCCCUUUGCAGGGUUGAGGGGCUGCCCCAGAGUCAGUUGCUGGUCCGGGUCUGGCUCCCCAGGCUGGCUUGCUGCCUGGGAACAAGGCUUGUUUACAAGCUGGUCAGGAGGAGGGAUGGGCAGUAGUAGCAGCUAGAAUCCCAAGGGACCAGCUUGCUCCCUGCCCUCCCGUCCUCGCUCCCAUCCCCAAGUCACAGGAAAGGAAAGUCCAGAAGAGGAGUGGGGGUGGGGGGGUAGGGCAUCGGGCAAAACAUCAAGCGUCACUUCUGCACCCUGGUCUCUGUCAACUCUGGGUGAGCUGAGCCACUGUGGGCAAGUCAGCUCUCUCUCCGCGCUUCAGAAACAGGAGAAGUUGCCCGAGAAGCUCCCUUGUCCCCUCCAAGUUAACACUGGACAUAACAUCAAGAAAUAACUCCCCCAUCUCCCCUCUUUCUUUACCCUCCUUUCUUCCCUUCUGCUUCCUUAGGGAAUCAACUCUGCUUUUUUGGCCUCUGAGUCAGCAUUGGCCUGGGGUCAGCCCAGAGAAGAUGUACCCUUUUGGGAGCAUCUGCUUGUUUGGGGAGCUAAGCACAGUGGUGUAGGAGUUAUAUAAUAUAUAGCAGGUAGGAUCUGAGAUCCUAAUCAAAUAGCCAUUCCUGGGCAUAGAAAAAAUGAGGCUAGUCCUAAAGGAAAUCUUGCAGACAAGAAGGGACAGGCCUAAGGUUGGCCAUUCUAACUGGCUUGGCAGAUGCCAAAAUCUCCCUCCCAGGACCUUGGUUGGUAGAAUCGAUAGCCAAGUGAGGUGGCGUUAGGGACAGCCAGCUCCUACUGGCAACAUCUGUAGCUCUAAGCCCUGGGGGCCCCAGGUUCUGGCCUAACCUACCUUUCCGUCUCCAGAUUCAGAGGGCCAAAGGGAAUGCCAGAAACCAUCUACUCCUACUCUACCCACUUCACCCCCGUUAUACAGACGAACAUCUGAGGAAAGAGGUGGCCGACCUUGGCCACUCAAUGGAGGAAUCUGUACUUCAAGAAGUUUAGGUGAAAGACACACUAAAGACAAAGAUCUCACGCUGUCACCAUGUCACGAUGUGUCACGAUGUCAUUCGUGGCACACGUGCAGAGUCUGGGGAGUCUGUGACUUGGGUUUCGGUCUGGGCUCCGCCAUUUGCUUCUCCUAAGACGUCAGCAAGUCCCUUGCAUGUGAAGUGGGCACUUAAUAUUUGUUGAAUGAAUGAGACCUGACCUUCGCAA